CGUAGUACGAAGCUAUAAUUCCCUAUCUGUAAAUGAAAGUGAAAGAUUUAAAGCCAGAGUCACCAUUUCAGCAAGGAACACAAAUAAGAUUCUGGAAUAAUAUAAAGGUAUUUGCAUUGCAAGAGGUCUCAGCAGGAAUCAUCUGCUCUGUAUCAACACCAAAAAAUGGAAGAACCUGCUUCUGAAAUGAGCCCCCCUGUGGGAUAUAAGGAGAGAGGAGCUGCUUCUGAAAUGACCCCCCCUGUGGGGUGUAAGGAGAGAGGAGCUGUGUCUGAAAUGACCCCCCCUUUGGGGUGUAAAUCAAAGGGGCCUGAGAGUGUCCUGAUGGAGAGAGCAGACUCACCUGCACCCAGCUGUGUUUCCAUGAAGAGUGACAAGUCGAUGAGGCCCCCACUCGAAUUCAGAAAGGAAUCUUUCCCUACAGAUCAAAGGUAAAUAUGCAUUUAAGGA